AUGAUCAGAGUUCUCCUUGUCUUGCUGCUUUGGCUUACAGGUUCUGCUGUUAAUGGAAGUGUUAAUCAAAGCCCCUCAAAUCUAAUUAAAUCCGAAAGAAACAAUGCAGAUCUUGUAUGCGAUCACAACGUACUAUCUUACGAUAUGAUCCUCUGGUACAAACAAACACUCGGCCAUGACUUUACAUUACUGGGAUAUACCUGGAAUAAGAAUUCUGUCCCAGAGGAUAAUUUGAAAGAAAAAAUCAAAUUGGACGGAGAUGGAACCAAGAAUGGUUCCUUAAAAAUCAAAGAUCUUGAAGCCAGUGACAGUGCAAUGUACUACUGCGCAGCUAGUUUACACAGUGUGAUGUGAAGUCAUGCCACAAUACAAAAAGCUCUGAGAUAAAAGCACUACUGCUGCACAAUUAACCACAGCAGCUCUUUUCCACCUGCUCAAGGGUUUAGUUGAAUUUCCUGCUAAUAUUUGUAUCCUUCUGAUUUGAGAUGCACACUGUGAUGGUAGCAGUCAUGUGGUCUAAAUGAAUACUGGAAAGAAUAUAAACUGGUCAACAGGGAUAUAAACAAUAUUCAGUUCAUAUUAUAUAUUUACAGUGAUAUUUUAAAAUUAUCUCUAUAGCAACUUAAAAACAACAAUAUUUUUAAAAUGUAAUGUGUGUUUUUUUUUUUAAUGUUCACAGGCACUGUAGGUGGGAGUGAUGUUGUACAAGAACCUAUUCUCUGGAAAGCAAAAAUGGUUCCUGAGAGUGGAUCUCUGAUGGUGAAGAAUUUGGAGCCGGAUUAGCACCAUAUAUUUCUGUUCAGUGAGUGAAUACACAGAAUAUCAAACUCUGGGGAGAGCUGUACAAAAAACAGGUUUCUUAUAAUUAGAGACAAGUAUUGAUCAACAGGGGGCAGUGUGAUUCAAGAAAUGUUCUGCCUACUCACAACUCAAAACAAAUAUAGCUGUUUGCACAAGAGAUUUUAAUGAAUGAUAAUCAGUCAUUAUCACUGUCCUCCUUUUAAAUCAAAAGCAUGAACAGUCUCAGUUGCAUAUCGGUUCUGAUAUUUAUACACAACUCAUGUGCAGUUUGAAUCUGAUUUCCCCCAUUUUAUUCCCCUGUUCUCCCAGGAUUCACCGGUUACUACCCAAUAAAGCUGACAUCACUUCCUCUCA
ensembl:lncRNA